rnacentral:rRNA from 1 species
ACAUGCCUACAACAUAGCAUUAAUGCACCAGGUCCCAUUAUAACUCUACAUUUAAGCGUGCUUGAGCUAGAGUAGUACUGGGAUGGGUGACCUCCUGAGAAUUCCUAGAUUUUUACAUGCU